GAGGGGCGUCAUGAGGCUCAGUGGUAGAGCAGGUGCAUCUUAUGCUACAGUUCUCAAUGCAGCUGUCCUGGGUUUGAUUCCCAGGCCCUAGGUCA